rnacentral:rRNA from 1 species
UGGGGAUGACGUCAAGUCAGCAUGGCCUUAUGUCCAGGGCUACACACGUGCUACAAUGGUUGGUACAAAGGGUUAGCCAAGCCGUGAGGCGGAGCCAAUCUCAAAAAGCCAACCUCAGUUCGGAUUGCAGUCUGCAACUCGACUGCAUGAAGUUGGAAUCGCUAGUAAUCGCUGAUCAGCAGGCAGCGGUGAAUACGUUCCCGGGCCUU